rnacentral:misc_RNA from 1 species
GAAAUGCGAUAAGUAAUGUGAAUUGCAGAAUUCAGUGAAUCAUCGAAUCUUUGAACGCACAUUGCGCCCGUCAGCAUUCUGGCGGGCAUGCCUGUUCGAGCGUCAUUUCAACCCUCAGGACCCCCCUUUCGCGGGGAGGGACCUGGCGUUGGGGAUCGGCCCGCCCCCCGUGGCGGCGCCGUCCCCGAAAUCUAGUGGCGGUCUCGCUGCAGCCUCCCCUGCGUAGUAGUUACAACCUCGCAUCGGAGCGCGGCGCGGCCACGCCGUAAAACCCCCGACUUUCUGAACGAUGACCUCGGAUCAGGUAGGAAUACCCGCUGAACUUAAGC